GACGGAGGAUGCAAGCGUUAUCCGGAAUGAUUGGGCGUAAAGCGUCCGUAGGUGGCUUUUCAAGUCUGUGGUUAAAAUUCAGGCUUAACCCUGAGGGUGCCACGGAAACUGAAUCGCUGGGGUGCAGUAGGGGCAAGGGGAAUUCCCAGAGUAGCGGUGAAAUGCGUAGAGACUGGGAAGAACACCGGUGGCGAAAGCGCUUUGACUGGACUGUAACUGACACUGAGGGACGAAAGCUAGGGGAGCGAAAGGG
rnacentral:rRNA from 1 species